UUGGCCUUCCAAAGUGCUGGGAUUACUAGGCAUGAGCCACCAUGCCCAGCCUUCCCCGGUAUUCUUUAUUCUGCCUGGUGUCUGCUUUGGGAAGUUCACGGACUGAUGGGACAAACAUGCACAAUCAUACAAGGAAGCUGGGGGUGCCAGGAGGGCUGCACUAAGGCCCUGAGACCCCCCUACAUCGGGGGUCUGCCCAGACCCUGCAUGGCCUCCGACUGGGUGGGUAAAUCCAAUCUGGGGUUGGUAUUAGGAAACCACUUGUUUGCAGGUAUUAUAUGCCACAUUCUCCAAUAUCAAUUUUAUAAGAAAUAGAGCUGAUGCAUUUGGUCUCCAUCUGCCUAGAUUCUUUGUCUCAUUUCUCAAUGGGCUCAGAACUUACAGCGGCAGGGUGCUCUUUUGGGGGCCAUAUUGAACUCCAGUAGUGACAGUUAGGUCAGCCCUAAUGUCUGACAGUUAAAAGAAAAAGAAUGUCAGGCCAAUGCUAUGUAUCCAAAAUGGUGGUCUCUGAAGUUGGGGAGCAGUGGGUGAACUUUCCUGGCACAGGGAACCGAAAACACAAGAGGCUUAGAAGUGGGAAGGCACAAGAGUGUCUGAAGACUGUGAAACCCUGAAGCUGCUGGAAUACCAGGUGAGGAAAGAGGGGUUGAGAAGAAGCUAGAGAAAUAGCCAGACCAAUUCAAGCAGGGGUUGCAAGGCUACAGAAAAGUUUGCAUUGUGUUCUAAAUGCUAUGGGAAGUCGCUGAAGGAUCUUAAGCAGGGCAAUGAUGCGGGUCUGUUCACUCCUUCAGAAGUCGCUCUUUUUAACUCUGUAGAGAAUGGUCUGGCUGUGGCCCCCGAGAAUAGAUGAAGAGAGAAGACUCAGGAGACUUUUGCACUAGUCCAGGGCAAGUCUAGAUGAUGCUUACCUAGACCACGAUAGAAGCAAUAAACCACUGGAGGGAAAGCCUCAGAUGGGAGAGAUCACUGGGAGAGCGAAGCCCCGGAAUCUGCUGAUGAAUUGGAUGUCGGGGGAGAGGGAAGAAUUGGGGAUGAAUCCUAAGUUCUGGCUUCAUGAGUGGAUGGGUGUUGACGCCAUUUAUAGGGAUGUGAAGACCGGGAGGAUCCUGGGGAAGACCUUUACAUUUCAGGUGUUUUAAGGCUUCUUGGAGGCAAUAUCAGGUAAGCAGUUGGAUACAGGAGCUGACUCUCAGAGGGUCUUGAGGAACCCUGGCAUUGAGAGGCAUGUGUGGGAGGACAUCCACGCAGAGGGGACAAGCGACCACAUCCAUGUCAUCCUGCCUGGACAGUUAUUUGGCUAGAGGACACUAAUGACACAGCUAUCGUGUAUUAUUCAGCAGGGCUUGGGGCUGGAUGAUAUAGACAGCUUCCUUUGGAAAAUUCUGUCUAGGAAGCCCAGCAUUAUAAAGGAUUAUUGUAUGAUUUCAUUUUGGGGAAAUUUUCAUAACUUCUAGGAUAUUUUUUCUUCUCUAUACGAUACGUAGUUGUCAGUCAUUUUCUCAUUGAGGGCAAAAGUCGCAGAAGGCUUUUUAUUCAUUAUUAUUAAUGUCCUUUGAAAAAAGACCCUUUAAUUAAUGUUCCUAUUGGGCACAGAGCUUUUUAAAGACACCACUCCCUCCCUAACACACACAGCUGUGUUUUAUAGACUAAUUGUCACCUAACCAAGGGACCCCACAGGGAUCUGCAAUUUGUCCCACCUCUGCCCUGCCACACUUCCCUGCAACGCUCCUAAUUGCUGAAUCCCAUUCAGCCUCAUGAAAGUGGUGGCCGAUAUUUAAAGUUCAUUUCAGGAAGGCUUCAUAAUAACUGGGGAAAAUAACAUAAUCUCGUUUUAAAACAUUUCCUUCCUCUGUUCUGCUGAUAGAAUCAAACAAUCCAGAGUUCCAUCUGUCCUGUCACAGGUCCAGAUUUUAGGAUGUGGUUUUGAAGUUACUUGUUUUCUUUGUUUCAGGGCACCUCUGGUGGGAUUCCCUCCCCUUCUGGAUGGGUGCAGGCUGUACCACUUGUCCCUUGGAUUUGCAAUUCCAGGAGGAAAAUAAUGAGCCAGCAUUGUGGGAAAAUGUCACUCUGCCCCAGUGAUCAGUCUCUAAGACUGGGGAGGGAAGUCAAGCUUGAAACGGCAGAGUGGAUUUUCUCUUCAAGGAGCACUUUUAAAGAAAACAAAGGCUUCUGUGAUCAAUAUUUUAUGUCAAACAUCCUGUGAGGAUGAAGGGCCCUUCUAUGCUUCACCAUUUUAACCUCUCAUUUGGAAAAGCAAAAAGGCCUGGGAGAAGCUGCGUUCGCAAAAUCUCUCCUGGAUGACUUGUUCAGAAGCCAGUUCAGUAAAUUCAAACUGUUCCAGAGUCCCCUUUUGAAAACCACAGAUGCCGUGGACCCACUAAGGUGAGGACGCAGUGUUUGUCCCCUCCAGGAGACACAGUGUUCAAGGCGCCAUCUUGGAAGCAGAGACCAAGCCCUUGCCAUACUAAACAGGCUAGCACUGUGAUCUUGGACUUGUCAGCCUCCACAAUGGCUCACAGUUAGACUACAUUCCUAGCCUCCUGAAGAGUUAGGUACAGCUGUGUGACUGAAUUCCUGCCAAUGAAAUGUGGUGAGAACCACUUCCAGGCCUGGCCCACAGAAACCUCCCAUAGACAAUUCUUCAUCCUCUUUCCUUUUGCAUCAGGCCUGAUACAGAAGAGCAUGACAACUUUGGAACCCCUGCAUAGAAAGCGGAGAAGCCACAAGCUGAGGAGCUUCUGGAUUCUUCCAAUUUUAGCAGUCCUUCCAAUUUUAGCUCUGGAUUUUGUUCAAAUGAGAAACAAAUCCCAACAUUUCCAAAGCAAGUAAUAUUGUACAAUCAUAAGUCAUUUCAAAAUCACAGAGAAAAGUAGCAAUCUUCCCAAAGAAUUAAGAAAGUCUGCUAGGCCACGAAACAAGUGUUAAUAAAUUUGAAAAGACUGACUGAAAUUAUACCUCAUAUCUUUUCUAAUCAUAGUGAACUGGAACCAGAAAUUAAUAACAGAAGGAAAGCUGGAAAAUCCACAAAUACGUGGAAAUUAAACAAUACA
rnacentral:lncRNA from 1 species